GGGGAUUUAGCUCAGCGGCAUAAGCGCCUGCCUUGAAAGCAGGCAGUCGUAAGUUCGAUCCCCG
rnacentral:tRNA from 1 species